rnacentral:rRNA from 1 species
GACGAACGCUGGCGGCGUGCCUAAUACAUGCAAGUUGAGCGCUGAAGGUUGGUACUUGUACCAACUGGAUGAGCAGCGAACGGGUGAGUAACGCGUGGGGGAUCUGCCUUUGAGCGGGGGACAACAUUUGGAAACGAAUGCUAAUACCGCAUAAAAACUUUAAACACAAGUUUUAAGUUUGAAAGAUGCAAUUGCAUCACUCAAAGAUGAUCCCGCGUUGUAUUAGCUAGUUGGUGAGGUAAAGGCUCACCAAGGCGAUGAUACAUAGCCGACCUGAGAGGGUGAUCGGCCACAUUGGGACUGAGACACGGCCCAAACUCCUACGGGAGGCAGCAGUAGGGAAUCGUCGGCAAUGGACGAAAGUCUGACCGAGCAACGCCGCGUGAGUGAAGAAGGUUUUCGGAUCGUAAAACUCUGUUGGUAGAGAAGAACGUUGGUGAGAGUGGAAAGCUCAUCAAGUGACGGUAACUACCCAGAAAGGGACGGCUAACUACGUG